GUGAAGGUUCCGAUGGAUAAAGGGAAGCGAGUUCUUUUCCUGACCAAUGACUACUUCUUCACGGACAUCAGCGACACCCCUUUCAGUUUGGGGGUGGUGCUGUCCCGGGGCCACGGAGAAUACAUCCUUCUGGGGAACACGUCUGUGGAAGAAGGCCUGCAUGACUUGCUUCACCCAGACCUGGCCCUGGCCGGUGACUGGAUCUACUGCAUCACAGAUAUUGACCCAGACCACCGGAAGCUCAGCCAGCUAGAGGCCAUGAUCCGCUUCCUCACCAGGAAGGACCCAGACCUGGAGUGGAGUCUGAACACGUGGUGGACAUGGCCUUCCUGGGCACCCGGGCUGGCCUCCUGAGAAGCAGCUUGUUCGUGGGCUCCGAGAAGGUCUCCGACAGGAAGUUCCUGACACCUGAGGACGAGGCCAGCGUGUUCACCCUGGACCGCUUCCCGCUGUGGUACCGCCAGGCCUCAGAGCAUCCUGCUGGCAGCUUCGUCUUCAA
rnacentral:misc_RNA from 1 species